UACGUAGGGGGCGAGCGUUGUCCGAAUUUACUGGGCGUAAAGAGCGCGUAGGCGGGCUCUUAAGUGAGAGGUGAAAUAUUCGGGCUCAACCCGAAUCGUGCCUUUCAUACUGGGAGCCUUGAGUGUGGGAGAGGCGAGUGGAAUUCCUGGUGUAGCGGUGAAAUGCGCAGAUAUCAGGAGGAACACCGGUGGCGAAGGCGGUUCUCUGGGCAUUACCUGACGCUGAGGAGCGAAAGUGUGGGGAGCGAACAGG
rnacentral:rRNA from 1 species